rnacentral:rRNA from 1 species
UAGCAUAAUCAUUAGUCUUUUAAUUGAAGGCUUGUAUGAAUGGUUGGACAAAAAGUAAUCUGUCUCAAUUGUAAUAGUUGAACUUAACUUUUAAGUGAAAAGGCUUAAAUACUUUAAGGGGACGAUAAGACCCUAUAAAACUUGACAAUAAAUUAGUUAAAUUAUAAAUUGUUAGUAUAACUUGAUCUUAAUUAAUGUUUGUUGCGUUGGGGCGACGGGAAUAUAAUUAGUAACUGUUCUUAAAUACUUAUUAACAAGUAUAAUUGAAAAAUAAUUGAUCCUUUAUUAAAGAUUAAAAGAUUAAGUUACUUUAGGGAUAACAGCGUAAUCUUCUUUGAGAGUCCUCAUCGACAAGAAGGUUU